rnacentral:sRNA from 12 species
CAUUGCAGGUUCGACCCCUGCCAGCCCAACCAAUGGGUGAGCCGGGCACAGGAUAAGCUCGGAGGGCGGGACG